GCGCACGGGUGAGUUACGCGUGGGUAAUCUACCUCCGAAUUGGGGAUAACAUUGCGAAAGCGAUGCUAAUACCGGAUGAGGUUUCACUCGCUCAGGCGGGUGGGAUGAAAGGUGGCCUCUACAAGAAAGCCACUGUAUGGAGAUGAGCCCGCGUACCAUUAGCUAGUCGGUAGGGUAACGGCCUACCGAGGCGACGAUGGUUAGCUGGUCUGAGAGGAUGAUCAGCCACACUGGAACUGACACACGGUCCAGACUCCUACGGGAGGCAGCAGUGAGGAAUUUUGCGCAAUGGGGGAAACCCUGACGCAGCAACGCCGCGUGAGUGAUGAAGGCCUUCGGGUCGUAAAACUCUGUCAGGUGGGAAGAAACUGUCAUGGAUGAAAAAGCCAUGGCACUGACGGUACCACCGAAGGAAGCACCGGCUAACUCCGUGCCAGCAGCCGCGGUAAUACGGAGGGUGCAAGCGUUAUUCGGAAUUAUUGGGCGUAAAGGGCGCGUAGGCGGCCUUGUAAGUCAGAUGUGAAAGCCCGGGGCUCAACCCCGGAAGUGCAUUUGAUACUGCAGGGCUUUGAGUAUGGGAGAGGGAAGUGGAAUUCCUGGUGUAGCGGUGAAAUGCGUAGAUAUCAGGAGGAACACCGGUGGCGAAGGCGACUUCCUGGACCGAUACUGACGCUGAGGCGCGAAGGCGUGGGGAGCAAACAGGAUUAGAUACCCUGGUAGUCCACGCAGUAAACGGUGAUCACUAGGUGUAGCGGGUAUCGACCCCUGCUGUGCCUGAAGUCGACGCAUUAAGUGAUCCGCCUGGGAGGUACGGUCGCAAGAUUA
rnacentral:rRNA from 1 species